UUCUCUCUGACUUUCUUGCAUCAAAGAUGUAAAACGAAAUUAUUAGUCAAUCAAUCAACGUCAUUCUAAAGUCUAUCGUGAGUUUAUAUUGAAAAGAGAAGGGAGGGAAAAGUGGCAAUAAAGAGGGAAACGAUUACGAGAAGAGACGUGUAUAUAUAUAUAUGUAUAUAUAUAUAUAUGCAUGUGUAAAUAAGUACACACACACACACACACGUACAUUUACUGGUGGCCUUAAGCACAGGAGACGUGCGAACUUCCGGGGGACGUCAAACGGGGAAAGUGAAGAUCCACGUGCUUCUUGAAAAGGAGGGGAGAGAAAGAUAAAAAAGAGAAAGAAAGAGAAAGAGAGGGAGAGAGAGAGAGAGAGACAGAAAGAAGGGAGAAACGUUGUUGGGCGCCAGAGAGACGAGAGAAAACGUUUCUGACGUUUCGUAGACCACGCGAGAGAGGCAGCACGUUGUGCGAGAGCUCCAUUUGUCCGGUUGUUGGUAGUAAGAGGUGGAGAAGUUGGUGAAGGAGGAGCAGGAGAAGGGAUAAAAAAAAGAGUAGGAGGAGGAGGAGAAUGGAGAAGAACGUAAGAGGGCAAAGAGAGGGCAGGUAGGCGCGUGCCACUUAAAACCACUGCGAGAAACGCGGUCGUAGCCUCGGCACGUUGCUCUGUGUAUGGCACGGCAAGGCACGCAAGAAAUUUGAACACGUAAGAAAUU